rnacentral:lncRNA from 1 species
UGUAUCAGUUCAUCUCUCUCUCUCUAGAUCUAUAUAUAUAUAUAUAUAUAUAUGUAUGUAUGUAUGAACACUCAGACAUGCAAAAGAAAAAAAGAAAGAGAAGAAUUAGAGAGAGAGAGAGAGAGGGAGGUAGCUAGCUAGAAAUGGAAGCGAAUUACGAGAGAAAAGAGCAGCAGAUGAUGAUUGGAAAAAAGGUGGAUGAAGACGAUGGAGUUGAAAAAGAUCCGAUGGGUAAUAAGGCUAAGGAAGUAAUUCGUGAAGCUAUUACUUCAAAAAACAGAAACAGUGGUGGAGAUGAUGAUGAUGUUGCCAAACACCAAGAUGAUGUUCUUGCCUUCUAUAGAUCCGUUAAAAAUACUGAUUCUUCCCUCCACUAAUGUCUAAUAUAAUACUACUACUCUAUUAGCUAUUACCUACGUACGUUCAUUCUAGUUCUACUAUCAUUACGAGUACUGUAUUUCAUAUCAUAUCAUUUCCUCGAUCUUCAUGAUAUGUUAUGUAGGAGGAUCAUCUAGAUAUAGCUACACCUCACCCAUUUUAUAUAUAUAUAUAGGCUUAAAUAUGAAUAAAUACUCUAAACUAUAUGGCAUAUUCCACUACGGUGAUCCAUUUUUUAAUUUUAUCAAUUAAGUGAUUAAAUUUUUUUCAAUUACACCAAAUUGAACUGCCACGUCAGCAAUUACUGACGUGGCUAAUCGAAGUAGGGUCUUAACAAGCUUAUGUGGCAAAUAAAUAAUUUAUUAUUCAUUACAUAAUCUAAUCAUUUUAUCAGCAUGGGCAAAAUCGUCAAGCCCUAAUUAAAAUAAAAGAAACAUAUCAGACACUCUAAAAUUAAAUUCGUCGAUCACAUCUCUCCCCCAAUUUUCGAUAGAAAAAACCUAGAUCAACCGGAGUUGGGUGAAGAACUGAAGAUAAUCAACCAUGGCGGAUUCGGCACGAUAAUCGGUUCAACAAUCAAGUAAGUAUUUGAUUUAGCUCUUCUCUGUUGCUCUGUUGCUACCUAAUUUUGCAUAAAUCCUACUCAAUUCUCACGAUAGUCCUACAAUCAUCUGGUGUGAUUUAACAGAUUUAAGGAAAACAAGCGAGAUAGGGUUUCAGUUUUCUACCCAAAAAAAUCCCUCGCUGAAAAUGGAAUUUACUGGUAUAGAAGAUGAACUGGAGUUGGGCGAGUGUCUUGAUUCGAUGGGUGAGACUCCAAGGUGCUAUUUGUGCACUUGUGAACAUUGUUAUACCUUUUAACAGUAAAAGUGUUCUCAUGUUUCAACACACUUGCCCAUAAAUUCCAAGGGCAGCCCUCUGCACACUUCACUUGUACCUUAUCCCUUGCAUUUUUUGAAAACCAUACAUUGUACUUUUUUUCAAUUGUAUAUUGUUUCACUGCCUCUUUAAAUUCUCUAUGGUUAGUAAAUUUCAUUCCAACAGAAAAUUCAAUAUUUUUAAUGUCAGUCUUUGGAUUAAAUUCAAGAUAUUUUCUCUUUUUUAUAUUGGUUGGUCUGACCUCAUCAUCUUCAUUCUCACUUGUUUUAGGUGUAUGCAGCUCAUCAGAAUCUAAGUCAAUUUCAUCCCAGUUUUCAGCUUGUGCUCUUUGCCCACCUUCAUCAAUAGGUCCCUGCCCACCUUCAUCAUCAGGUCCCUGUCCAAUUUCAUCAACAUCAACAUCAUUUCCUUCUUCAUUUUCUUCUUCAUUAUCUUCAUCCAUUUUUCUUCUUUCUGUUCCUCUUUUUCUCACAUUUUUCCCUCUCUUUUGCUGCUCUCAAAUUUUGCCUAGCAGCAAGUAACUCUUCAUCACUCUCAACUAACCAAUCACAAUUACUACUUAUAUCAGAGUCUGUAUCUCCUACUCCUUCAUAUUCUAUAUCCUUCUCAUUAUCCCUCAUCCUUCAUGUUCUUCAAUGUUAACAUCUGUUAAAACUUCAACAAAUCCCUCACUGUCAUCAUCAGUACUUACUAUUUGUUCAUGGUCAUGGUCUGAGUAUAUCUCAACAAUAGGGUUCUUCUUAGCAUACUCACACAUGUCAAUAACACCUUUAUCAUAACCUACUGCCCUAAGCACUUCUGCUAAACUUUGACCAGGGAUAAGAUAAUAUACAUUUUUCAUAUUCUUGCUUCCAAGUACUAUUGAAACAUAAUCAAUAAUCCCAGGCCCAGUUAUAUAAUCAGGAUCAUAUUUACACAAUUCACUAACAGUGCCUCCAACAUAAUAAACUAUAUCACCAUUAUUUAUUAGUUUACCACCAUGAUGAAAUCUUAAAGUAAUGACAUCCAUUUCUG